rnacentral:rRNA from 1 species
UCUUCCCUCUGGCGGCGUGCCUAAUACAUGCAAGUCGAGCGAACGGACGAGAAGCUUGCUUCUCUGAUGUUAGCGGAGGAUGGGUGAGUAACACGUGGAUAACCUACCUAUAAGACUGGGAUAACUUCGGGAAACCGGCGCUAAUACCGGAUAAUAUUUUGAACCGCAUGGUUCAAAAGUGAAAGACGGUCUUGCUGUCACUUAUAGCUGGAUCCGCGCUGCAUUAGCUAGUUGGUAAGGUAACGGCUUACCAAGGCAACGAUGCAUAGCCGACCUGAGAGCGUGAUCGGCCACACUGGAAGUGAGACACGGUCAAGACUCCUACGGUAGGCAGCAGUAGGGAAUCUUCCGCAAUGGGCGAAAGCCUGACGGAGCAACGCCGCGUGAGUGAUGAAGGUCUUCGGCUCGUAAAACUCUGUUAUUAGGGAAGAACAUAUGUGUAAUUAACUGUGCACAUCUUGACGGUACCUAAUCAGAAAGCCACGGCUAACUACGUG